rnacentral:piRNA from 1 species
UUGACUCUUGUUUCUGUUUUACAG